rnacentral:rRNA from 1 species
UACAGAGGGUGCGAGCGUUAAUCGGAAUUACUGGGCGUAAAGCGUGCGCAGGCGGUUUUGUAAGCCGGAUGUGAAAUCCCCGGGCUUAACCUGGGAAUGGCAUUCGGGACUGCAAGGCUGGAGUGCGGCAGAGGAGACUGGAAUUCCUGGUGUAGCAGUGAAAUGCGUAGAUAUCAGGAGGAACACCGAUGGCGAAGGCAGGUCUCUGGGCUGACACUGACGCUCAUGCACGAAAGCGUGGGGAGCAAACAGG